rnacentral:rRNA from 1 species
ACCCUUUAAUGUUUGAUGUUCUAACGUGGACCCGUGAUCCGGGUUGCGGACAGUGUCUGGUGGGUAGUUUGACUGGGGCGGUCUCCUCCUAAAGAGUAACGGAGGAGCACGAAGGUUGGCUAAUCCUGGUCGGACAUCAGGAGGUUAGUGCAAUGGCAUAAGCCAGCUUGACUGCGAGCGUGACGGCGCGAGCAGGUGCGAAAGCAGGUCAUAGUGAUCCGGUGGUUCUGAAUGGAAGGGCCAUCGCUCAACGGAUAAAAGGUACUCCGGGGAUAACAGGCUGAUACCGCCCAAGAGUUCAUAUCGACGGCGGUGUUUGGCACCUCGAUGUCGGCUCAUCACAUCCUGGGGCUGAAGUAGGUCCCAAGGGUAUGGCUGUUCGCCAUUUAAAGUGGUACGCGAGCUGGGUUUAGAACGUCGUGAGACAGUUCGGUCCCUAUCUGCCGUGGGCGCUGGAGAACUGAGGGGGGCUGCUCCUAGUACGAGAGGACCGGAGUGGACGCAUCACUGGUGUUCGGGUUGUCAUGCCAAUGGCACUGCCCGGUAGCUAAAUGCGGAAGAGAUAAGUGCUGAAAGCAUCUAAGCACGAAACUUGCCCCGAGAUGAGUUCUCCCUGAGACUUA